rnacentral:lncRNA from 1 species
GUGUGUGCCCAGCAAUGCUGGAGGCACAAGAGCAGCCAGAGCAGCCAUCAGGACAACACUCAGCGUUUUCCUUCUGCUGUUUGGGGGUAUGGAAGGCUGCAGAGAGCCCUUUACAAACCUGGAAAACAUGGGAACAUAGGAUGGCAUGUGGCAAGGUCACAGGACCACAGGAUCACGAGGUUGGAAGAGACCUUCAGGAUCAUUGAGUCCAGUCUAAAUUGGUCUAAGUGGAGCUGCAUUGCUGAAGGAUUACCAUGGAGAAGAAACUAUUUCCAAACUGACAAGAAUGUGGAAUCAGAUGAACAGAGAGAGCUGAUUCAAUUUCUGCCUGAACUCCAGGAUCACUGUUGGAGGCCUGGCUGCCUAAGGGAGCAACACCUCUCUCUGCUGCUGUGUCUGAGGGCACAGCUGUGAUUCUCAACCACCCUGUCAUAGCACAGCUACAUUCAGACUCCUAAGAGAGGUUUAACUGAUUAAUUUAAUUAUUAUUUUCUGUCUGUUUAACAGUGGUCUUCAUUGCAGGCACCCUUAGGACAUCCUGAGGUUUUGCGGGAGCCUCUGGCUCUCCUCCCUCGCUGGAUACCUUUGGCAGUACCAGAGGUUGCUAUUUACUGCUAUUCCUUCAGAAGACCUGCACAUGCAAAUAGUGCAUAAAAUGAUAAAAGAUUCAGUAAG